GCCGAACGCUGGCGGCGUGCUUAACACAUGCAAGUCGAACGACGUGGCGAACGGGUGAGUAACGCGUAAUCAACCUGCCCUUCAGAGGGGGACAACAGUUGGAAACGACUGCUAAUACCGCAUACUGAAGGAGGGGAUUGCGUCUGAUUAGCUAGUUGGAGGGGUAACGGCCCACCAAGGCGAUGAUCAGUAGCCGGGUGUAGAGGAGGAACGGCCACAGUUGGACUGAGACACGGCCCAGACUGCUACGGGAGGCAGCAGUGGGGAAUCUUCCGAAAUGGACGAAAGUCUGACGACGCCACGCCGCGGGAGUGAGUACGGCCUUCGGGUUGUAAAGCUCUGUUAAUCGGGACGCGGUACCGGAAUAGAAAGCCACGGCUAACUACGUGCCAGCAGCCGCGGUAAUAC
rnacentral:rRNA from 1 species